rnacentral:rRNA from 1 species
AGUUUGAUCCUGGCUCAGAUUGAACGCUGGCGGAAUGCUUUACACAUGCAAGUCGAACGGCAGCACGGGAGCUUGCUCCUGGUGGCGAGUGGCGAACGGGUGAGUAAUGCGUCGGAACAUACCGAGUAAUGGGGGAUAACGCAGCGAAAGUUGUGCUAAUACCGCAUACGCCCUGAGGGGGAAAGUGGGGGAUCGCAAGACCUCACGUUAUUCGAGCGGCCGACGUCUGAUUAGCUAGUUGGUGAGGUAAUGGCUCACCAAGGCGACGAUCAGUAGCGGGUCUGAGAGGAUGAUCCGCCACACUGGAACUGAGACACGGUCCAGACUCCUACGGGAGGCAGCAGUGGGGAAUUUUGGACAAUGGGCGAAAGCCUGAUCCAGCCAUUCCGCGUGAGUGAAGAAGGCCUUCGGGUUGUAAAGCUCUUUCAGCCGGAACGAAACGGUACGCACUAACAUUGCGUGCUAAU